rnacentral:rRNA from 1 species
GUCUUUUUGAUUAUAAUUUAAAGUCUAACCUGCCCAAUGAAAAUUUUAAUGGCCGCAGUAUUUUGACUGUGCAAAGGUAGCAUAAUCAUUAGUUUUUUAAUUGAAAACUGGAAUGAAGGGUUGGACGAGAAAAUAACUGUCUCUAAUUAAAUUUUUUAGAAUUUUAUUUUUAAGUUAAAAAGCUUAAAUUGAUUUAAAAGACGAGAAGACCCUAUAGAGUUUUAUAUUAAUUUUAUUAAUUUUAUUUUUGAAUUUAUUAUUUAUUAGUAAUUUUAUUAUUUGAUUGGGGUGAUUAAAAAAUUUAAUAAACUUUAUUUAUAUUAAAACAUUUAUUUAUGAAUGAAUGAUCCAUAUUUUAUGAUUAAAAGAUUUAAUUACCUUAGGGAUAACAGCGUAAUUUUUUUUAAGAGUUCUAAUCGAUAAAAAAGUUUGCGACCUCGAUGUUGGAUUAAAAUUAAAUUUUGGUGUAGAAGCUGAAAUAUUAGGUCUGUUCGACCUUUAAAAUUUUACA